AGCCUAGACUAAAUACUAGAAGAAAAAGGGAAAUAGAAAAGAAACAAACAAAUUAAAAUAAACAAAUAAUAAAACAAAAAUAAAAGAAGAAAAAAGGACAAAGAGCACCUGGAUUCGAACUGAAGACCUGGUGCCAGUGAAAAGAAACACGGACCAACACGUUCAAGUCCACACUUGUUGCAAAGUGCAGUGACAACUACAAUAUGUGCUGAUGCAGCAACUUCCUGUUUGAAUUGAAAAACCCUAGCAGCUGCUACAUCUUUGCCUUUACCUCGAGCCCAGAGUCUCAAACGGCUCUCUAUCUCUCCGUGUCAGACCAUCCCUUUCAACAGACAAGGCUGGCCACAUGUCAUGCAUCCAUGUGGUUAAUUUCUUAGGAUUCCAAAUCAAAGGCUAAGAUAAACCCCAUUUGCCCAUCUCUCUCUCUCUAGAAAAUCUGAAAGGGCUUUUAAUCUCUCCAUUGUCUUAUUAGUUUGGCACCCUUCUUCAUACAAACCUUCCAUUUUUUUUCUUCAAACCUAUCUCGUUUCCCUUAGACCCCAUCUCUCUCUCACUAACAACCCCAAACGCACAUCCAUAUCAGAAAUAAGUCUCCCAUUUUCCUCAGCCCCCCUCUCUCUUUUGCUCUCAGACCCCAUUUCUCUGUAAAAUGAAAAAUAUCUCCCCUUCUCACCCUUAGCCGACCACACCCACGGCUCGGAAAAAAAAACCAAAACAAUCGACUCUGCCAUGGAAAUGAUGGUACAUUGAAGCUCCACACGCCCUUCAAAAGUAAAUCAUCGCCCAUGUCCUGCUCAAUUUAUAUGUCCAGCUAAUGAUUUUAGAUAGAAAAGAACAAAACUAACACAUGCUGAUCUAUUCCUUUGCGAGGAUCCUCGGGUGCACAAUGAAAAAUGUCACACCAUCCAUCUGUAAGUACAACUCAGUCACCGCAGCCCUUGUUUAUUUUGUGUUCUUAGUAACUGGUAGAGCACCAUUAUGUUGUGAUUGAUGCAUGUUGGUGUGCUGUGUAUGUCGUUGGAGUGCAAAAAUCCACGAACUAGAAGCUGAACACGGCAAAGGAAAGGAGAAAACAACGAAGAUUGUGCAGAUCCAGGUAUUGCAAAGUAAAGGUGGAUCACUGAUAGAUCCGUGGGAAGGAAAGUGGAUGGACAAACAUCAGCUUCAAUUGACAAAAACGGCACAAGCUUCCAGAGCCCAGAUCGGUGCAUCUGGGAGAUCCCCAUAAAAUAAAGACUACAGAAACGUCCCUUGCAGAGAAGGAACCCACUGCAAAUUUUUCUCCCUGCGUCUCCUUAAAGAGUUCUGGAUCAAAAGGAAGCAAUUUCUGCACUGUUGAACGGGUGCUGACCAUGGACAGAUUAUCUUUAUAAUAUGCAAUGUACUGUUGUAAUCUGAGAAAAAUAAAAUAAAAAAGAAAAUUAAUUUUUUUAUAUGUAUAAAUUAAACAGCAAUAACUAAUUG